CGUACACUCCUGCGGGAGGCAGCAGUGGGGAAUCUUGCGCAAUGGGCGAAAGCCUGACGCAGCCAUGCCGCGUGAAUGAUGAAGGUCUUAGGAUUGUAAAAUUCUUUCACCGGGGACGAUAAUGACGGUACCCGGAGAAGAAGCCCCGGCUAACUUCGUGCCAGCAGCCGCGGUAAUACGAAGGGGGCUAGCGUUGCUCGGAAUUACUGGGCGUAAAGGGAGCGUAGGCGGACAUUUAAGUCAGGGGUGAAAUCCCGGGGCUCAACCUCGGAAUUGCCUUUGAUACUGGGUGUCUUGAGUAUGAGAGAGGUGUGUGGAACUCCGAGUGUAGAGGUGAAAUUCGUAGAUAUUCGGAAGAACACCAGUGGCGAAGGCGACACACUGGCUCAUUACUGACGCUGAGGCUCGAAAGCGUGGGGAGCAAACAGGAUUAGAAACCCGGGUAGUCCCA
rnacentral:rRNA from 1 species